UAUGUAUAUAAUAUAUACUAUAUGUAUAAUAUAUGUAUAUAUGUAUAAUAUAUGCUAUAUGUAAUGUAUAUAUUAUAUGUAACAUAUAAUAUAUAAAAGUAGUAUGUAUAAUUAAUAUUUAGAUAAAAUUAUCUAUAAUUUAUAUUGUAUACAAUUAAAUUUAUUCUAAUUAUACCUUUCCUAAAAUCUGCACUAGGCAUCCCCCUGAAACAAGAGGGUAGGAUGUAUUAUAUUCUUGGUUCCCACCCUAAAGCCUCUAUCUGAAUGGAUUUAUUAAUUGUUAUUGUACAGUAGAUUUGUUCUAUCCAGUUGUAGUUUCUGUGUAAAUAUAACCAGCAUUUUCUUAGCCAUCAGCUCCUAUUUGUUUCGCUUCCCUUAUCCUAAGGUGGGAAGUGCUAUGUCUCCAAAAUGGAUUCCAUCCUGGAAGACAUGGGUUAUGAUUUGGAGGAUGAGGAAGCUGAGGACCUGAGGAACCACCUGCCAAUUAGUGAUGAAAAUACUGUUGAACUGAGUAAGAUGGUAGAAAAUGCAAAGUUAUUUACAGGUGAGUGAAAGGUUUAGAGGGAAAUUAUUAGAAAUAGCAGUAUUCUAAUACUUUUUCUGUUACACUUUUUAAUAUUCUAAUUCCUAUUAUACUUACUUAGACAUAUUAGGCUUCUUGGUAUAUGAGGGGACUUCAAAAGAUUUAGGGAGAAUUCACACUAUCUUUUAAUUCCAUUUCUCCAUUAAAGGAGGUGGUAGGCAUUCUUAGUCCCCCAUUGAGGCCAGAAACCAGUACAGGAGUGAGGACCACUGAGAAUCUAGGGCAACAUUGUGGUAUAAGUGUGGUCUAGCCUUACCCUUAAAAGUACCCUCAUAGCAAUGGUAUAGCUUAUCCAAUGAUCCAAUUAGUUUUUGGUUGUAUACUUUUUGACAAAACUACUAAAUUAUUAGGUCUUAGUUAAGUACCCUGUAUUUUCUCUGUUACUUUUUCUGCAAUGCACACCACUUUUCCAUUGUUUAAACAGACAAAAAACAUAUCUUACCACAGUAAUUGGUAUUUUUUAGGAAAAAUUCACCUUAUCACAUAAGCAGAUAAAAAGUAAUAUGGAUGCUGUCUUUACAGAGUUAUUGAAAUAGUCAUUUAUACAGUAGUCACUCCAGACCUUUAAGCA
rnacentral:lncRNA from 1 species